rnacentral:rRNA from 1 species
AUAUUGGACAAUGGGCGAAAGCCUGAUCCAGCCAUGCCGCGUGUGUGAAGAAGGUCUUCGGAUUGUAAAGCCCUUUAAGUUGGGAGGGAGGGGUUGACGUUAAUACCUUGCUGUUUUGACGUUACCGGCAGAAUAAGCAACGGCUAACUUCGUACCAGCCGCCGCGGUAAUACGAAGGGUGCAAGCGUUAAUCGGAAUUACUGGGCGUAAAGCGCGCGUAGGUGGUUCGUUAAGUUGGAAGUGAAAGCCCCGGGCUUAACCUGGGAAUUGCUUUCAAAACUGACGAGCUAGAGUACGGUAGAGGGUAGUGGAAUUUCCUGUGUAGCGGUGAAAUGCGUAGAUAUAGGAAGGAACACCAGUGGCGAAGGCGACCACCUGGGCUAAUACUGACACUGAGGUGCGAAAGCGUGGGGAGCAAACAGG